GGUUUCUGUGAUACCACUUUCUCCUGUCUCUUCCUAUUGAUUUUCAGACUCCUUCACUGGAUUGUCUUCUUCCUGCCCUUAAGAGCCAUCCUCCACCACUCCUGCAACCCAAUGGCUUCUCUGUGACCUGUAGCAGGCGGAAGGCACACCAUCUGCUGCUACAGAUGCCGGGUGUCCAAAGAACAUGCCAACAACUUCAGAGCUAAAGGUCUUCAUUACGCCUGGCAUUAACUCUGUAAACAAGCGUUAACCUUUGGGUUAACCUUUCUAACCAUUCUUUGAAAUAAUUGCCAGCCAACUAUUUACCUACAGGAGCUCACUCAGGCAAGUU